rnacentral:sRNA from 1 species
GCAGGCGGGAGCGGGGGCGGCGAGCAGGCCGGGGAAGGCGGUAACGCCAGCCUAAUGCACAGAUAGCUGACAUCAACUUCCGUCAGGCGGCUCCGGGAGAUCGAACCUUUCGAUUGUAACUGGGACAAUUUGCAUAGUGAUUCCCUUUCAGAGCUUUCUCGGGUCCAUAACAAGCCCAGGCAGCUAUUCAAAUGCAAGUUGCGUCCCCAAAUGCCCGGCUGGCCUGAGCAAAAGGAGCGGCUCGUCACCAAACGAGCCGAGACCAGCGCUGGGGUUCUGGGUCACCUCCUUUCUCCCGGCUUUUCCCUCGCUCUCGGGUUCCUGAAUUAGCUGUUUGUUUACGGCUACAGACUUGUGUGUGCCAGCGAACCGAGCCAGCGCGCGAGGGAGGGAAUUGAUCUUUCCCCAGACUCAAAGCUGGAGCGGAAGAAGUGCGGGGGAUUUGGGGUUCUGAGUGGGACUCAGCCCCUGGGUGCUGAGGAGAAGCCUGUGGGGCUCUCUAGCCCGCUUCUCUAACCCCAGCGACCUUGCAGGAAUCCUCAGGCCUGAGAGCUGCCCGGCUCUGGGCUUUGCAGAAAGUGGCGGCGGCUGCGUCCCGGUCUUUAAAACGAACGCAAAGAAAGGAGGCAAAGCUGAAACCUUGUCGCGUGUCAGAAGCAACCUGCCGUGAAAUUCGUUAAUGCGCCCCGACUCGCCCUUCGCGGAACAGUCUUUCAAGAAGAGAUGGCCACAAGGGCAGAUCAAUCAUUUCAAUGGGAUUAAAACAUGGUGGCAGAAACAGAUGAGCUGAGAUUGUUUCAACCCAUUCUUUGGUUUUACAAGAGAUUCAAGAACCCUGUGUUACUGGAAAGGAAUUCAAAAAAGAAAGGAGAGAGAAGAAAGAAAGAAAGAAAGAAAGAAAGAAAGAAAGAAAGAAAGAAAGAGAGAAAGAAAGAAAGAAAGGUAGGUAGAUUUGGUUUCUAGGAAAUAUGUUGUGCUUGGAUGUGUCUGAAGAGAUGAUAAAUAAAUUAAAUUAGUAUUAUUUAUUUUGGUUUUGGCCAAUGUAUUUCUCCUCCCAAUGACCUUUUCCUGUGGGGAGGGGGUUCAUAUUCCUAAAACGAUCAUGACCAAGCUGACUUGAAGUGGGAUCCAUAGGAGUUCUUUGGGUAGGAUGAAGCCCUUUAUGAUGUUGAGACCCAGCAGAAUUAGUCUUGUAGGAAGUCUUAGUGUACCCACUGACCUUGACUCCUUGACUGUGGGUCUUGUGCAGUUGGAGGUAGACACUUGGGCUAAGGGAUGAGCCUGUUUGUACCUUAACUGAUGAGAUUUCAGGCCCUGGGUUGACCAUACCAAAUUUUCUUAUAGACCCCCACCACCACUACUCAAUCCUAGGCUCUCUGAAAACCGUUACAAGGAAACACAGGCGGUGGGUUCUGUGUUUGGCGCAGAGCAGGCCUCAGACACUUUGUUCAGUAGCUGAGCCCUGAAAGCCCGCUCUGAGGCUAUCCUUAUUGUGAACACCGCUAGCCCCAGGCUGAGGCUCGGCGCUGACCCGGCCGUAACUGCCAAGGGCCUGACAAUGGGCACAUCUGUCCUUUCUCCAAGGGAUAAAAGCACCUAAGCAGACAAGGCUCUGCCUUUUGUUACGGACUUUUUUCUUUCUUUCUUUUGUAAAUAAAAGAAAGCCGCGGCAUGUGGCGGCCGGGUGUGUGUCCCACACUGGGGGCCUCCCCACGCGUCCCCACCAGGCUGAAGGCCCGGGUUCAAUUCCGGAUUGGAGCGUGACUGUGACAGGGGCACAAUUAUGCCCAAAGCUGAAUUGAUUUUCAAAUCUGGAGGCUUCUUGCAGGGACGCCAGGAAAAGGAAAGCGUCCCUGCGGUCCAAGCCGCUCGGAAACUGGCUCGGCCGCCUGCACUCUGCCUGCUUAGGUACUCCUUCCAAGCAGCAAGCAACCUCUAGGUUCUUUUCUAGAAAGGCUAUGUAGUAACUAAAAGACCAGCCCCCGCCCCCAAUCCUAACUAGGACGAGCUUCUGUCUCCCUCAGUAUCCUCCAGACUUAUCCAAAGUGGGAGAGCCAUCUUACUUGGGAACAUAGUGAAAGACCUUCUCUGAGGUCUGGGUGGUGAGGUGUGGCCUCGAUCUGAACGCUCCUCACAGAGUACUAAUCCCUGGGUGCUCCUCUGCCCCGGGCUCAGAGGGUGAAAGGUAGUUCGAGGAGUACUUGUGAGGGUCAUGGAUACCAGUUCUACGGCGCCCACGCUGAUCUAGGCCUUCAGGGUAUACUCGUCCCAAGUCCCUGUAGGACAAUCAUUUAAGUACAGGGAACGGACUGGCCUCCAGAGACUCUCCAGGGAAUAAAGCCCAAUGGGCGAACGGGCAAAGGCCAUGGCAUAGUCUCCAGCUCCCAGCCGAUAACCUGCACCGGGAACCAGCAACUCCGACCCAGGGGCUCUAGUUCUCUAACCUUGCUGGCCCACGGUGACAGAAAGCAGGCAAGAGAGUCGGGCUGGGAAGAGAGAGGGAGGAAGUAAGGAAGACCAGGAGGUAGCAAAUCUCCGAGGACUGUGGCGGCGGCUCCAGGUCGCGCUCUGCGCGCGUCCCGUGCACGUGCUCACCGAUCCCGGGCCAUUCGGCGCCGCUGAGAAAGCUCUACUCGGCCCCCCCACCCCCCCUUAGUUCAUUUGUGCUAGGACGUCACGGAGC